UAGGGAAUCUUCCGCAAUGGGCGAAAGCCUGACGGAGCAACGCCGCGUGAGUGAUGAAGGUCUUCGGAUCGUAAAACUCUGUUAUUAGGGAAGAACAAAUGUGUAAGUAACUAUGCACGUCUUGACGGUACCUAAUCAGAAAGCCACGGCUAACUACGUGCCAGCAGCCGCGGUAAUACGUAGGUGGCAAGCGUUAUCCGGAAUUAUUGGGCGUAAAGCGCGCGUAGGCGGUUUUUUAAGUCUGAUGUGAAAGCCCACGGCUCAACCGUGGAGGGUCAUUGGAAACUGGAAAACUUGAGUGCAGAAGAGGAAAGUGGAAUUCCAUGUGUAGCGGUGAAAUGCGCAGAGAUAUGGGGGAACACCAGUGGCGAAGGCGACUUUCUGGUCUGUAACUGACGCUGAUGUGCGAAAGCGGGGGGAUCAAACAGG
rnacentral:rRNA from 1 species